rnacentral:rRNA from 1 species
UACGUAGGGGGCGAGCGUUGUCCGGAAUCAUUGGGCGUAAAGCGCGUGUAGGCGGCUUGGUAAGUCCGGUGUGAAACCUUGGGGCUCAACCCCAAGCCUGCACUGGAUACUGCCUCGCUUGAGUCCGGGAGGGGAGAGCGGAAUUCCUGGUGUAGCGGUGAAAUGCGCAGAUAUCAGGAGGAACACCGAUGGCGAAGGCAGGUCUCUGGGCCAUAACUGACGCUGAGAAGCGAAAGCAUGGGGAGCGAACAGG